rnacentral:misc_RNA from 1 species
GUAAAAAUGGAAUGCUCUACUUCAACUAGAUCAUUCUAUUGUGUUUUCUGGAUUCAGAUGAUGCAUUGGUGCAUUCUGUUAGGAUUCUGGCAUUUUGCAUACAAACGACAUAUCUGUCAAUUCUGAUCAUUUCCACCCUAUAGAUUUGUUUGCAAGUUUGACUAUUUUCAUCAAUUUCGUGGAAUAUAGUGUUGAAUGAGAGGU